rnacentral:lncRNA from 1 species
CUCGCUUUGCAACCAAUUCAAAAUUUUAACAAGCCUUUGCUCGCGAAUUCGUGCCCGAAAUUCUCAAAUCUAGUCAUAAACAAUUUGAUUCAGUCAAUAAAAAUUAUAGGAAUCAAUUCCAUAUGAAAUUCUACAUUUUUCAUUAAAAAUCCGAAAUUGCACUAAAAAUUCGUCCGUGGGGCCCACGUCUCGGAACCCGACAAAAAUUACGGAAUAUGAAACCUCAUCCAACCACGAGUCUAACCAUACCAAAAUUACUAAAUUUCGAUAAUAUUUCGACCCUCAAAUCCUCAAAUCUAUCCGAGAGAGUUUUCAAACUCUUCCAACUAAAUUCAUAGAUUUAAUACCAAAACUAGUAAUAGAUUCGGGUAAUCUAACCAAAAUUAAGUUAAGAACACUUACCCCGUUGUUUUCUCUGAAAUCUCCCAAAAAUCGCCUCUUCCCGAGCUCCAAUUUGACAAAAAUGGAAAAUGGGACAAAGUCCCAUUUUCAGAAAUAAACAUUCUGUCCACAAUUCGGGGGUUACUGUUCACGCGUUUUUAUUGUUCACGUGGGUACUGUUCACGGUACUGUUCACGGGGUACGGUACACGGUACUGUUCAUAUGCUGUAAAAGAAAAUUCAGCAGCCUUUUUAUAUCCAUUAACCUUCCGAAAUCCACCCGAGGCCCUCGGGACCUCAACAAAAUACACCAACAAGUCCUAAAACAUAAUACAGACUUAGUCGAAAUCUCAAAUCGCAUCAAAUAAUGCUAAAAUCGUGAAUCACUCCCCAUUUAAGCCUAAUGAAACUAAGAACAUCCAACUUCUAUAUUCGAUACAAAAACCUAUCAAAUCAAGUCCGAUUGACUUCAAAUUUUGCACACAAGUCAUAAAUGACAUAACAAAGCUAUGAAAUUUUUUAGAAUUAGAUUCCGACCCCGAUAUCAAAAAGUCAACUCUCCGGUCAAACCUAAGAAAUCUUUAACCUUAGAUUUCUAGAUUCCGUUAAAUGGCGAUAAUUUAAUCUAGGGACCUCCAAAUUCGAUUUCGGGCAUACGACCAAGUCCCAAAUCACGAUACGGAACUACCGGAAUGGUCAAAACUUUUAUGCGGGUUCGUUUGCUCAAAAUAUUGACCGCAGUCAACUCAGUUGAGUUUUAAAGCUCUAGUUCACAAUUUAGUCCAUUUUUCACAUAAAAACCUUCCGAAAAAUUAUACGGACUGCACACGCAAGUCGAGGAAUUAUUGAUACUGCUUUUCAAGGUCUUAAAAAUACCGAGAUGAUUAUUUAAUUUAAAGAUGACAUUUUGAGUCAUCACAAAUAUAAUAUAAAUAUAUACUUUUUAAACGAUUUCAAAUACUAAUUACUGCUCAAAAGUAUUUUUCAAAUUUAAGUAGCCAAAUACAAAUUAUUUUUAAAAAAGAAUACUUUUUGAAAUAAGCUAAUUUUGAAACUUGGCCAAACAUGCUAGGAUUAAACUUUGACAAAAACGUGAUUUACCAGUUACGAGUUACCACGGUAAUAAUACAAGAAUUUACCAUUCUGUCGGUGAAAUGAUAAAGUAGGUAUAUAUCGAGAGCUCAAUUUCUCAGGAGAAGUUGGCGUUUGGCAAAAGAAGGAGAGGUAAACUUUUUCAACAGAGCAAGUAAUUUUUGGUCUAUACUAUAAGGAGAAGGGGACAAAUGAAUAAUAAACGUAAGAGCGGUCUAAUCCCCACACUUCAGUUUCUGAAUAAGACUGACCAUAUAGUGGAUCGAGCCACGCCUGCCUUUGUCACCAAAUCUAUGUCGUCUCAUGGUCGGUAGGUUUUCAUUUGUUUUACCCCCAAAAAAAAAAUGAUGUAAUUAGAUAAAGGACGUUUUGAUAUAAGUCCAACUAAGUUUAUUAUAAUAGUCUUGAGCUGAGCUCAACUGAAUUGCUAUACUUUUGAUUUGAAUCGAGUUUAAUUGAACUCUGCUACAGUAUAACCGCAAAAUUGCACGAUUAUCUUCCUAAAGGAUUGAGUUUUAAAUAGUAUUUCCGCUUUUAUUUUGUAGUGAAAAUAAAAAUUUUCCACAUCGUCAGAAUACUAAAGUUGUUUAAUUCUGGAAGCUCGAAAUUCUUGUCUGAUUGGUUAUGGUUCAUCGGUUGAAUAUGGCCAAAUACAUACACAAACCGUUUAACUCGACGCAAAUUUUCAUGUUAGCACUUUAUCUAAGCCUUGUUCCAUUUUGGCAUUCCAACCCAUUUGAUAUGUUUCAUUUUGACACAAAACGCUGACUUGUCAUGUUGGGUGAAAUUCCUCACUUGGUAAGCGCGUGAGGCUCUAUUUUAAAUGCCCAAACUCCCAAACAAAUUCCUUGGUUGUUCUCGAUCUCCAUCUCCAUAAAGCUUCAAAGCUUUACUGUAUUUUAGUUCCUUUAUUUAUUUAUUUAUUUUUAAUUUCUUAAAAUCCAUAUCUUCGUCUGAAGCUUGAAGUUCCAAACUUCAAGAAUGUUGGUGAUAUCUCUAGUGGGUUCAACAUUGUCGGAGUUCAAUUUGUACUGGGGAAAAGGCCAUUGUUAAGUCUUGUGUGCCUUUUAUUUGUGUACCUUUUCCUGUACCUAUUAUGGAGGAAAUGAAACUGGUUUUAGGUACCAAUUAUGUUCAGCUGUAAUCCGUGGUUUCAUCACCUACAACCAGGGAUUUUGGGAACAAGAUUAGAGUUUCAUUACCUAUGACUAAGGAUUUUGGGAACGGGAUUAGGGUAGAAAAAAUAAGCAGGGGGCUAUUAUUUUACCCAUAGCCCAUCUGGGUUAUUAGUGUAGGGUUCCGGGUAUUUGGUUAGACCCGGUUGACAUGGAUUAAAAAACAGUUGUCUAUAUUUAAUUGGAUAGUUAUCACACCUAGAUGCGUUUAUACACACGCUCUUUAUAUUUUACACUGGGUCAGUUUUUUGUGUCAAAAUGAAACACAUUAAAUGGGAUUGGAGUGCCAAAAUGGAACAAAGCUUAGAUAAAGUGCCAAAAUGAAAAUUGGUGUCAAGUUAGAGGGGUUGUGUAUGUAUUUGGCCUUUGAAUAUUAAUAAUUUGUGCUUAAAUUCUGUUAUUCAAAUAUUGAUUUAGUGAUUAUUUUAAAAAUAUCGAAAUUUUAUUGUUGAUCCUUAAAAAUUACUAUUGAAGAAGAAAAAAUGAGUCUUAUUGACUAAAUACUUUGUUGAUUGAAGGUCGUUUGUAUUGCUAUUUGAGAUUUUGUCGGAUAAGAGGUAGUUUGAUCAAAGUUUAAAUUGCAAUUUGGAAAAAUACUUUGUUGAGCAAUAAAAACAAAUUAUGAUAAUCGAGUAUAUAGGUGUUUGGUUUUUUUUUUGGGCGGGUGAGGGGUGGGGGGGGGGGGGGAGGAGAGGGUUGGAUGGGCCUGCCUUUUCGAUCGAUAUCCGAUUGUGUUGACUUUGAUGAACAAUUUAGUAGAUAUGUUGAUUGUGGAUAACACGAAGUCAUGCCAAUCUAAUAGAGUUUAGUGAAUAGUUGAGCAAGCACAAAAUCAUGUCAAUAAGGGUAUAAUUUAUGAACAAUUUAACAAAUAAACAGAAUACACAUAACACAAAGUCAUACCAAUAUGAGAGGGUUUGGUGAACAAUUGAAUAAUUACAAAGAUAUGCCAACUAGGUAGUGUAUGGGUCGAAAUCUGACCACACUUGGAUCAGCAUUAAAAGGAAUGGCGAGGGGUUGACUAAGCCGUGGUUAUAUUCAUGAGACAUCAUCUCCAAGAAAUCAUUUAUGAGACAUCAUCUGACCUGUCACGCCUCUUUUUUCUUACCCCCGGAAAGGGAUAUAAGAGAGUUUUUUCCAAUUUAAGUGACAAUCGAAACGAGAUUAUUUGAAUUAUUCAGAGUCGCCACUUGGGAUAAUUUAUGGUGUCCCAAGUCACCGGUUUAAAAUCCCGAAUCGAGGAAGUUGACUCUUAUUACGGUCUGCGAACAUAGAAAUCCGAUUAAGGAAUUCUGUUAACCCGGGAGAAGGUAUUAGGCACUCCCGAGUUCCGUGGUUCUAACACGGUCGCUUUGAUCAUACUUGGCUUAUCAAAAUUGUCUAAUUACUUAUUGUUAGAACCUAUGUGCAUUUACCCUUUUUAAUUAAGGAAUAUCUUGAAACGGGUCACGCGUACGUGUACCCAUUUGUUCGGCGCAUCAAAAAUCAUGUCAUGCGAACGUGUCCACAAUGAAUAACGCGUUAUUAUUAUUAAGAAAAUUUUGGCCGAAGUUGCGUGAACGCAUACUCCGGUUUUGUUUUUAGAAAUCGUAAUCAUGUCACACGAACGUGUACAUAAUUACAAUGAUAUAUUAAAUGGGCCUAGAGCGAUUACGAGCAUUUGUCAUUUUUAUAUCUAAAUCAUAAGAUUAAUACAAGGGUCAUGUAUAAUUAACUCAUAGAUGACACACCUCGGACUAUUAUCAUUAUCCGAGGCCUUAACUCCCAUUAUCUAUCUCUAAACAGAUUGACAGAAUUCAUUACUCUAGUCCCAUGUUAAUCUUACCUUUAUCAUAGUUUAAUCACGUCAAAAAUAAAGCAAAGAAUCGGAAAUAAACCAAUCAGAACAUCGACUAAGGAUGCCAACAAAUUUAGGUCGAGAAAAGAGAAUUCUCAAGUGCAAUUAUUAGUCAGCAAAGAAGAAAAUUAGUGCAUGAAACCAGACAGACUUGUCUCAAAUCGUAGAAGGAUAAUUUCAGCAUUCACUCCAUAUUAAACUUGGCCAGGCGAGUGAGAUAUUCAUGAAAUUAUAAGUGAUCGAAUGGCAACUUCGCACCACUGUCAACAGUCAUCAAGUCAAUUUGAAUUCCUAUUUGUAAAUCUAAUAAACCAAUACUUUCAUCUAAAGCAAACAGAGAUUCGAACAACUUAUAAACCGAUCAAAACCAAGCUUUCAUCACAUUUUGAAUUGAACAACAACGAAUGAGCCAAGAAGACAACAAAAUAAAAAAAGAUCAGGAGGAACCUGAAAUUGAAAACUGAACUGAUCCCAGAACUGAGAUCGAUCCAAAAACAGACAGCAGCUGAAGAUCAACCCUCGAGUAGAAACAAAUUCGAACUUCUCAGAUAACUUUCAUUUUUACCCAAAAAUCCAGAAUCGAGAUGAAAAAAUUCUAUUAUUUCGAAAUGCUAAAUAAAACUGACAUCUAGUGAAAUUAUGGAACCUUCAUAAUAUAUUUUUUCUGUUCUAAUAUGAUAAAGAAAAAGAACAAUGGAAAGGAGGAAGAAAACUUUGAACACUAAUUUAAAUUUUUCUUCCGAAAUCUCUCUCAAUUCUCCCCGAAAUCUUCUCUCUCCAAAAAACAAUUCCCCUACACAAGAAAAGGGUCUCACCUUAUAUAGACCUCCAAAAGAUCUCGAACCUUCUUCCUUUCUCUCCAAGAAAAUCCCAAAACGAAAAAUCCUCUCCCCAAACAGAUUUCUCACCCCGUUUCUGAUGAAAGAGGAACAAAUGGAGGGAGUAGAUUAGUUCAAAUCCAAUCUAACGCUCCCUAUUUUUCCUUGUUUUCAUUUGAAGGGUGAAAAAAUCCUAGAUAAAUCGAAGAAGCAUGUUCGGGAGGGGGAAUCUGUCAGAAGCGAUUACCAUAUGGUAGGAGAAGAGGAAAGGGAACCGCGUGGUAUGAAAUUGGUGCUCACUUGCCAUGGAUUUGGGUGAUUUAGGGUCUGAUUUGGGUGAGGGAGGCGAGUGAAUAGUGAGCACCGUUUGGGUUCUUUGGGAAUUAGGGUUCUUGCAUUGUAGGUAUAUUUGGGUAAUUGGAGUGCUG